AGUGAACGCUGGCGGUAGGCCUAACACAUGCAAGUCGAACGGCAGCACAGUAAGAGCUUGCUCUUACGGGUGGCGAGUGGCGGACGGGUGAGGAAUACAUCGGAAUCUACUUUUUCGUGGGGGAUAACGUAGGGAAACUUACGCUAAUACCGCAUACGACCUACGGGUGAAAGCAGGGGAGCUUCGGACCUUGCGCGAUUGAAUGAGCCGAAGUCGGAUUAGCUAGUUGGCGGGGUAAAGGCCCACCAAGGCGACGAUCCGUAGCUGGUCUGAGAGGAUGAUCAGCCACACUGGAACUGAGACACGGUCCAGACUCCUACGGGAGGCAGCAGUGGGGAAUCUUGGACAAUGGGCGCAAGCCUGAUCCAGCCAUACCGCGUGGGUGAAGAAGGCCUUCGGGUUGUAAAGCCCUUUUGUUGGGAAAGAAAAGCAGCAGGUUAAUACCCCGCUGUUCUGACGGUACCCAAAGAAUAAGCACCGGCUAACUUCGUG
rnacentral:rRNA from 1 species